rnacentral:rRNA from 1 species
UACGUAGGUGGCGAGCGUUGUCCGGAUUUAUUGGGUUUAAAGGGUGCGUAGGCGGCUUUGUAAGUCAGUGGUGAAAUACUCCAGCUUAACUGGAGGGGUGCCAUUGAUACUGCGGAGCUUGAGUACAGAUGAGGUAGGCGGAAUUGACGGUGUAGCGGUGAAAUGCGUAGAGAUGUGGAGGAACACCAGUGGCGAAGGCGACUCUUUGGCCUGUAACUGACGCUGAGGCGCGAAAGCGUGGGGAGCAAACAGG